rnacentral:rRNA from 1 species
AUAAACGAUGCCAUCUAAGAGAUGGUGUAAUGAAUUUUAUAAUCGUACAUCCUUUUUUUCCGGGAAACCAAAGCUUUUGGGUUCUGGGGGGAGUAUGGUCGCAAGUCUGAAACUUAAAGGAAUUGACGGAAGGGCACCACCAGGAGUGGAGCCUGCGGCUUAAUUUGACUCAACACGGGGCAACUUACCAGGUCCGGACAUUUUUAUGAUUGACAGAUUGAUAGCUCUUUCUUGAUUGAAUGGGUGGUGGUGCAUGGCCGUUCUUAGUUGGUGGAGUGAUUUGUCUGGUUAAUUCCGUUAACGAACGAGACCUUUUCCUGCUAACUAGUUUUAUUUAUUUUCUUUGAAAGGAGAUGGAUAAACUUCUUAGAGGUACUAUUCGUUUUUCACGGAUGGAAGUUGUAGGCAAUAACAGGUCUGUGAUGCCCUUUGAUGUCCUGGGCUGCACGCGGGCUACACUGAUGCAUUCAAAGAGUAUUUUUGUACCUACUCUGAGAAG